UUAACAUAUAACACAUUAACGUGUUUGAUACCCAUUUGUUAGCAGUAAACAGCAUAUCUGUUACCUCGAUAUAUUAUUCCAUUUGUUGGCCAUUUUUUGCUUCUAAAGGUUAGGUUCCAGCUCUCAAGUAAAUGCUCAAGAAAUUAUUGGUAUUAUUUCUUUUGUGUGAGAUAGUAGUUAGCAAGAAAUUUGACAUUUCAUAUCGCACCGUGAAUGUUAAAAAGUAGAAGAAGAGUGUAAAGUAAUCAAACCACGGUAGAGGAGAUAUUUGAGCAAGAGCAAUUGGUGGUCAAGUGAAAAACUAAUCUAACAGAAUAGAAAUUUAAGCAAGAGUAAUUGGUAUACAAAAAAGCAAAGCGUUAAUCAACCAGAAAAGAUAUGUAUUUGAGCAAGAGCAAUUGGUAAGUUUCCCAUUAUGUGGUCAUUUUUAGUAUCCAUAAUGGAAGACGAGGAGUAGAUUUUAUAUAAUACUAUCCGACCCCGCAGUCAUUGUCCUGCGUGAAAUUAUGUGUUUAGAAAUGAAAAAGUUGAAUUUAUCAUUUCACUUUUUUUCAAUGUUUUGACGCUUGAUAAACAACCUUUUUUGGUUUCUGUUCCAGUGUACUAUAGAAAAGAUGGUUUUCCAACUCGUGAGCAGGACAAGUAUAUCUGGCCGAGGGAAAAAUAUAUCAUUUCCAAAUGUAUACCAUACACUAUGCGACUAUCCUUGUGUCUCAAAUGCAAUUUUCACUGGAAACUGAAUACGUUUGAACUGAAAUGACAAAUCGUUAGAACUCAGAGGAAUUCGUAGAAUCAAGCAUUCAGCCCCUUUGUAUUCGAUGGCUGCGUCACAAUCAGUCAGGUUCCAUUACACAGUUUCGGCACCUGAAGAUUGUGGAACAUAAUAACGACAGAUCCAACUUUGAGACGCAAAUGAAUUUAGAAAUUCCACGAUCGAUCAAUUUGUAUGAGCGCAAGUCUCCCGGAAUUUGACUUUGAAUCUUCCAGUUUAAGUCAACAACAUCGGCAUUUUUUGGCAGCUAACAUUGCGCGUGCACUUAAGGAAUUGUAGUUACGAUAAUUUGUCUAAUGUCCGAAUAUUCGCGAUGAGUUCAUCUUUGGUGAAUUGGUAAAGGGAAGAUGGAAUUGAUAUCAAACCACCGGAAGUAUCAACCGGAAUUUACCCAUUUCCAAUUCUUAGCGAAUACGAUGUAAAAUGUCUUCGGCAAUGUCAUUUUUGUUCGUAUUCCAUAAUUAGCGGCCUUUACACGGUCACAUAUGCGUGACAGCAUGUGCAAUUUUGGAAAGAAAAAGAAUGCAAAGAAAGUUUUUGUAAUGCUUUGGGCAAGAUAUUUCUAGUUCUUUUAACAAAUUUGUAUGCGAGCGUGUUGAUCUUUUCUUACGCCAAUCUUGCACCCAAAUUCGUUUUUCUUGCCACUUUUUGCAUUUUCUUCCUCUUCCUCCAUUUCUAAAAUUUCUUCAAUCAGAAGAGCUGCCACUAAUGCGCGUGCCACGUUUACUCGUUGAAAGCUGAACAAAAAUGAAGUUCACGCACAUGCAUGACCGUGUAAGCGAAAACGUCAAACUUUUGCAUCAUGCCAUGUUCGCGAGCAUGUGUGACCGUGUAAAGGCCGCUAUUGACGCUAAUUUGAUGGCUGAUCAUCGCGAAAAGUGUGCGAACUUCAUUCCAGUGAUUAUCAUGUUCCAGCAAUUGUAAUUCUAAUUGUAUGUAUAAUAUGAAGAUAUUUCCGAAUAGAGCAAGUUCUCGCAAACGGUUCACUGACGAAAGUUGAGAAAAAACUCGUAAAUGUUAAUUUUGUUGCUGGGGGUGUUAUCUUUGUCUGUACUGUAUUCUCUGUGUUGAAAUAGACUAUUUGGUCAUUCUCCAAAUUAACUGCGAGACGCACAACAGUCGGAAAACGUUCAUGAAUCGCAAAAGUAAAUAUUAUACAAAGCGCUUUAUUGCUGUUCACGUAUCGACCGUAUCGUUCAAGAUCAGUAACCGCCAUGUUACUUCCUUUGGUGACGUUUUUACACACGUAUUUUAUCGAUUACAAUUACCAAACUGCAAUACGCAACAUUGACAUGACUUUUGAAUGUGAAUUAGACAACGGUGGCGAAUAUGGUACGAUCCCUAUGUUGUCGACCUCGAUGUGUUGUUAACUUCGAUAUUCACGCCUCUAAAUUAAAUGCUAAAUGUUCUGCCAUUGUCUGGUGAGCGACGCUGAUACAUUGGAUAUCCAUCAUUUCUAGUUUGUGUUUCCGAAAUAAAAGCACCUGGAUAGUGUUUCGUACAUUUAUUGUCAGACAUACAAACCGAAGUGGUAUUGUGAUGUCCGUAAGGUACAUGAACCAUAUUGGUUUCGUAUAAUUCUGCUUCUAUCUCUGGAUCAGGAAUUUUCCGGAGAAAUGAUUUCAUCAAUUUGAUUUGGUGUAACCACCAUCCACCAUCCAAAGAAGAAUAUGUGCGUGCGGCAAACCUCUCUUUUGCCACUCAACAAAGUACAUCCAGCAUCUAACAGCACCACAUAUACGAUGCUUUAAGAUAAAUUU